ACGGAGGAUGCGAGCGUCAUCCGGAUUUAUUGGGUUUAAAGGGUGCGUAGGCGGAUAGAUAAGUCCGUGGGGAAAACUUGCAGCUUAACAAAAAACUUGCCGUUGAUACUGUCAGUCUUGAGUAUGGUCAAGGUAGGCGGAAUGUGUAAUGUAGCGGUGAAAUGCUUAGAUAUUACACAGAACACCGAUUGCGAAGGCAGCUUGCUGGGCCAUUACUGACGCUGAUGCACGAAAGCGUGGGGAUCGAACAG
rnacentral:rRNA from 1 species